CUCUGUGGCGUCCCCGCCCCUCCUACCGUCUUGCCUCUGGCGUCUUGCGUAAUGACGUCACCACUUGCCCCGCUCAGAAGCCUGGGAGUCCUCUGGCCUCCUUCUUUCUCGCUGCCCCCCACACCCCCACUCCCCCUCCACCCCCCCGCCUUGGCAGUCGGCCGUUCCAGCCUCCAUGCCCUCCCCUGGAUUCCCCCUCCCACCCCCUGGUUACGACCUGGGCCAUCUUUAACUGGAUGACUGUGCUGUCCCACCCAUCCUUGGGUCUCCCGGCUAGGAUAUGUCCAAUCCAACCCACCCGCUGCGCUGGCUCCUGAGAGCUCUCAUAAAAUCAAACUCUGCUCAUGCAGCGUCCACCUAAAGGCCCCCAGUAGCUGCCAUUUCCUCGGACCCAAACUCUUCACAGCUGCAGCCAAACUUCCAGAAGCACCUGACUCGCUCGCACAGAUCCUUCCGUCUGGCCAAACCGGAAGUUGUUUUUUCUCCCCUAGGCCAGAGCCUCUGAGUCCCUUGGGCCUUGGCUCCAGCUGUGCGCUCCCCGCCCUGCCUAGACUAUCCAGUGCCCGCCUGGUGCUCUGCAUCCAGAAGGCCCUGGGUGGUGAGCUGCCCUGCUCCCCCUGCACCCAGGCCGGGGCUGGAUUUUGCCUCAGACAUGGCUUCAGGGAAGUUCCAGGGGGCAGGAGGACCCCAGAGGAGACUAGGAAGGAAAGACACCAAAGGCCCCAAAGACAGGUCUUCGUGAGCGGGGCCCCUGCUCAGGUUUGAGGACUCAGCACUUGGGUUCCAUCAGACACCUAAUUAUCCAACAUAUUAAAUCAAAUAAGGAUGAAUGUACUCAGUUUGAGUUCUUCUUCCAAAAGGAAAACUCUACCAGGAAUUGGUCCAGAGAAUCUUGGAAUAUUCUUUUGCUUCUCUUAACCGCCAAAGAGCCACUUCGUGACUUCUUUCUCCUUCUCCUCCUCCUCCUCUGCUUCUGCUUUGGUAAGUAAUCACAUGCUUUUUAAAACUGAGAUAAUUCACCCAACAUAAAAUUCUCCAUUUUAAGGUGUACAAUUCAGUGGCUUUGGGUAUAUUCACUCUUCACGGGGACUUCUUAUCCCACUGACAACUUCCCCAGGACAGAGAGGAAGGGAAUGGGCGCUGGAAGUUUCCCUGAACGCAUUCCCAGGGCAACCCUGGCAGCUGAGAUCUAAAGGCAUGUUCCAGCCUAGUGGCACAGACACACCCCUCUCCAGAAUUUCUGGGGAAAUCCUGUCCCUGGAUCUGGAAUCCUGCCACGAAUGGGACAAGUGGGCUCUGAAGCAAAGUUUUCCGUGUAUCGGAGCCUCUCACAUCAGUGGCACCAGGCUCGACUCAUAAGGGGUUGGAGAACCCUGACCCGAUGAUGAAGUCAAGCCCUGAGGGUGAGAUGAGAAGGUCAGAGCCUCAGGCUGGGGCUGAUGACAGGGUCCCAGGGCCAAUAUUCCUGGAGAAGAGAGGCCUGGAGAUUCUGGUAGAGCCUUCAGAGUCAUGCGGCUUAACUCCUUCCUCCAACAGAUGAGGGAACUGAGAUCCAGAAACCACAGAGUUGAACAACCCAACAAUGGCAGACCCAAGACCCAAGACCAGAGCCGAGUUCUUUUGACCUUGGGCCAAUGCCUUCUGUACCAGCUAAUUCAUUCAACAGUAAAUGUUCACUGAACCCCUCCUGUGGGCUGGGUGCUGGACAGGGUUGACCUAGAAGUGCACACGCAGGCUGCACCCCCUCCCUCCAGCUCUAGGCAGCAGACCAGGGAGGACUUUGAGAAGCAACCACUCCAUGCCCAGUGGAGGGCUAACCUCAAGAGGAAAGAUUGAGAGAAACCCCCUCAGCACAGCCCUAUAAUAGCUGCCUCAGAAAGCCCUCUCCUGACAGCCCUCCCCCCCCAAGCUUGGCUCCCUGGCCCUCCACCUCUGGCCUUAUGGUAGUGACAGAACAUUUCUUGGGGCAGAGGGAUGAUAUGUUGGAACUGGCUCAUACCAGCUCAUGAGACCCGACUGUCCCCGUUAAAAGAAUUUUGCAAAAACACAAUUUAUUUUUCAAAAAUGGUAACUUAUAACUAAAUAAAUUAUAUCAGACACAAAGGGAAUAAACA
ensembl:lncRNA